rnacentral:rRNA from 1 species
GAAGAUGCAGUGUACCCGCGGCAAGACGGAAAGACCCCGUGAACCUUUACUAUAGCUUGACACUGAACAUUGAGCCUUGAUGUGUAGGAUAGGUGGGAGGCUUUGAAGUGUGGACGCCAGUCUGCAUGGAGCCGACCUUGAAAUACCACCCUUUAAUGUUUGAUGUUCUAACGUGGACCCGUAAUCCGGGUUGCGGACAGUGUCUGGUGGGUAGUUUGACUGGGGCGGUCUCCUCCUAAAGAGUAACGGAGGAGCACGAAGGUUGGCUAAUCCUGGUCGGACAUCAGGAGGUUAGUGCAAUGGCAUAAGCCAGCUUGACUGCGAGCGUGACGGCGCGAGCAGGUGCGAAAGCAGGUCAUAGUGAUCCGGUGGUUCUGAAUGGAAGGGCCAUCGCUCAACGGAUAAAAGGUACUCCGGGGAUAACAGGCUGAUACCGCCCAAGAGUUCAUAUCGACGGCGGUGUUUGGCACCUCGAUGUCGGCUCAUCACAUCCUGGGGCUGAAGUAGGUCCCAAGGGUAUGGCUGUUCGCCAUUUAAAGUGGUACGCGAGCUGGGUUUAGAACGUCGUGAGACAGUUCGGUCCCUAUCUGCCGUGGGCGCUGGAGAACUGAGGGGGGCUGCUCCUAGUACGAGAGGACCGGAGUGGACGCAUCACUGGUGUUCGGGUUGUCAUGCCAAUGGCACUGCCCGGUAGCUAAAUGCGGAAGAGAUAAGUGCUGAAAGCAUCUAAGCACGAAACUUGCCCCGA